rnacentral:rRNA from 1 species
CACGUAGGGUGCAAGCGUUGUCCGGAAUCAUUGGGCGUAAAGAGCUCGUAGGUGGUUUGUCGCGUUGUUCGUGAAAACUCACAGCUCAACUGUGGGCGUGCGGGCGAUACGGGCAGACUGGAGUACUGCAGGGGAGACUGGAAUUCCUGGUGUAGCGGUGGAAUGCGCAGAUAUCAGGAGGAACACCGGUGGCGAAGGCGGGUCUCUGGGCAGUAACUGACGCUGAGGAGCGAAAGCGUGGGGAGCGAACAGG